rnacentral:miRNA from 1 species
GAUGCUUGGAUGAAUGCGCU